AGCUGGUGAUGAUUAUUCAACAUUUCUGACACCUCGAAUGAGCUACUGAAGUAGCACCUGAUUACCAAGCUAAAAUCUGAAGCUC